UAGAUGGGGGGAAAACAAUGACCUAGAAAACCAAAUCCCAGUUUGGUAGCCAAAAUUAACCUCUUGGUUCAUUUGUUCUUUGUCUGAGAAUUCCUAAUGUUCAAUGCGUCAGACUUUUCACAGACACUUUCACCUGUCUUGGUUUUGGUUCUUCUUCCGAGAACUGAGCUAUUAAGAUCCUUUUAAGUCAAUACCAGUGGCCUUAAUGGCAGUAGACUGUGGAGUGACACUUGUGACACAAACAUCCUCUUUUUGGCCUGAGUUUAUGUAGACUUCACGGAGGACUAUAUUUUUCUUGGUUGUUUUAUUUUAAUUUUUGUUUUGGCUAUUGCACAACAUAUGCACUAGAGACUCUGGAAGCUGCUGGCGUGAUGGCUAAGUGGCCAAGGGAUAAACCCCUGAGAAACAGCACCUAAUAUCUCUAUAGGCAUCACCUUAUUGCCGUAGCUAGGACUUCUUGUUUAUUUGUUGAACAAAAACUUUAAAAGCUUAUUUGGAAGCUUAAACAUUUUUUUUCUCUUUUCUCCACGAGCAAGUGAUCUUCAGAACUCCUUGUCUUCACCUGGAUAUCGGUCUGGGACUGGCCACACAGGCAUGACUACAGGAUUCCUUCCACAUCAUUUAAUGAAGAGAGAGAGACAUGUCCAGAAGUGAUUCACUCCAGGGGAUGAGGUGAAUGCAAAGGGAGCUGAGGUGACGUCAAGCAAUUCUGGAAAGCCACAUGAAAGCUGCAAAAUAAAUACAAGUACCAGUACAUGUUCCUGAAAUUCAGUGAAGACAACCUUGGCCUUCUGAGGUUUUUAUUCUGCCAGAUGACAGGCUUCCCCCUUAGCCCCAAACCAUCGUCUGCACUUUAUAUGUGA
rnacentral:lncRNA from 1 species